rnacentral:miRNA from 1 species
CAGUGGGUAGCUAGUGACUCACCCUCCAGGUAAAGACAUUUUUCCGGAUUUCGGAAAAAUGUCUUUACCUGGAGGGUGAGGAGUCUUUACCUGGAGGGUGAGGACAUUUUUCCGAAAUCCGGAAAAAAUGUCUUUACCUGGAGGGUGAGUCACUAGCUACCCACUG